GGGCAAAUGGUUUAGGGGUAUAAUAUCUCAUUCGCAUGGUGUGACUUGAGAUGGUCCUGGGUUCGAUUCCCAGUUUGUCCA
rfam:Tuber melanosporum whole genome shotgun sequence assembly, scaffold_67, strain Mel28